CAGGGUAUAGCGCAGCUUGGUAGCGUACCUGUUUUGGGUACAGGUGGUCGUGGGUUCAAAUCCUACUACUCUGA
rfam:Micromonas sp. RCC299 mitochondrion, complete genome.